ACGCAACGAGCGCAACCCUCGUCCUUAGUUGCCAGCAUUUUGGAUGGGCACUCUAGGGAGACUGCCGGUGACAAACCGGAGGAAGGUGGGGAUGACGUCAAGUCAGCAUGCCCCUUACGUCCUGGGCGACACACGUACUACAAUGCUGUGGACAAAGAGCAGCCAACCCGCGAGGGCGAGCUAAUCUCAUAAACCACGGCUCAGUUCAGAUCGCAGGCUGCAACUCGCCUGCGUGAAGGCGGAAUCGCUAGUAAUCGCCGGUCAGCAUACGGCGGUGAAUCCGUUCCCGGGCCUUGUACACACCGCCCGUCACACCAUGGGAGCUGGCCACGCCCGAAGUCGUUACUCCAACCGUUCGCGGAGGAGGACGCCGAAGGCAGGGCUGGUGACUGGGGUGAAG
rnacentral:rRNA from 1 species